rnacentral:tRNA from 1 species
GGAGAGUAUGCCCACGGUGGGCGCGCGGUGUCGAAAGCCGCUAUACGGUAACCAUUCCGGGGGUUCAACUCCUCUGCUCUCCG